AAAAUUCAAGAGAUUAGUUUACCCAUGAUUCUUACGCCGCCCUACAAAAAUCUUAUUGCUCAGGCUCAUAAUGGCUCUGGUAAAACGACUUGCUUUGUACUUGGAAUGUUGAGUCGGGUCGAUCCGAAGCUUCGUGCACCUCAAGCUCUCUGUAUUUGUCCAACCAGAGAAUUGGCUAUUCAGGUUUGACAUAAAUGCUGUUUUUUAUUUUCUUUUGAAUUUAAGUUAUAUGCAUGAGGCCCUCACUCAAUUAUAGCUUCAUAAGUCGAUUUGUUUUAAUAGUAAUAACUAAAUUAGGUUUUAAUUAAUGAAAUAUAGGUUACAUCUGGCGACACGUUGUACAAAUCAGCGAAGAGAUUUGAGGAUUUGAACUUGUCUCCUUAGUUAUUGAAGGGAUUAUAUGUAGAGAUGAAGUUUGAGCGGCCUAGCAAAAUUCAAGAGAUUAGUUUACCCAUGAUUCUUACGCCGCCCUACAAGAAUCUUAUUGCUCAGGCUCAUAAUGGCUCUGGUAAAACUACUUGCUUUGUACUUGGAAUGUUGAGUCGGGUCGAUCCGAAGCUUCGUGCACCUCAAGCUCUCUGUAUUUGUCCAACCAGAGAAUUGGCUAUUCAGGUUUGACAUAAAUGCUGUUUUUUAUUUUCUUUUGAAUUUAAGUUAUAUGCAUGAGGCGGACCCAGGAUGAUUUGAGCGCGACGGUGGCACCAUCACUUUAUAUAUGCAAAUUACUAGCGACAAAAGCAACUCUUUGAAAACGUAAAUGAUUAUGA
rnacentral:lncRNA from 1 species